rnacentral:rRNA from 1 species
ACUCAAAGGAAUUGACGGGGACCCGCACAAGCAGUGGAGCGCCUGGUUUAAUUCGAUGAUCAACGAAGAACCUCACCUGGGCUUGAACUGUAGCUGCACUACGCCAGAAACGGCGUAUCCUUCGAGGGUGCUACAGAGGUGCUGCAUGGCUGUCGUCAGCUCGUGUCGUGAGAUGUAGGGUUAAGUCCCACAACGAGCGCAACCCCUAUCUAGUGUUAAAAUUACUCUAGACACUGCCUCGCCACAACGAGGAGGAAGGAGGGGACGACGUCCAGUCAUCAUAUCCCUUAUGUCCAGGGCUACACAGACGCUACAAUGGUUAAUACAAUGGGUUGCCAAGCCGCGAGGCGGAGCCAAUCCCAUCAAAAUUAACCUCAGUUCAGAUUGCAGGCUGCAACUCGCCUGCAUGAAGUCGGAAUUGCUAGUAAUCGCGUAUCAGCAUGACGCGGUGAAUACGUUCUCGGGUCUUGUACACACCGCCCGU